rnacentral:rRNA from 1 species
UACGAAGGGGGCUAGCGUUGCUCGGAAUGACUGGGCGUAAAGGGCGCGUAGGCGGCUUGCACCGUCAGAUGUGAAAUUCCUUGGCUUAACCUGGGGGCUGCAUUUGAUACGUGUGGGCUUGAGUGCGGAAGAGGGUCGUGGAAUUCCCAGUGUAGAGGUGAAAUUCGUAGAUAUUGGGAAGAACACCGGUGGCGAAGGCGGCGACCUGGUCCGUGACUGACGCUGAGGCGCGAAAGCGUGGGGAGCAAACAGG